CCCUGGUACUGCUGACGUGCUGCAAAAACCUUUCCCACCACAGCGCUGGUGCCUUUGAGUUCAGCUGCCAAGCACUUGCUUGAACGAACAAACCUUAUGUGCAAUAAUUAAUUCCCCCUAAUUUGAUAACGAUGCUAAUGGCAAACAAAGUUACAGUUCAGUCCUGCACAGCACGCAGGGCUGUGUUGGCUCUGGCUGCAUUUGUCCCUAGGUAGGAAUUGCUGAAAUGAGAGUAAAUAACUCAGUGUUUUAGAAGUUUUAUAUAUAUAUAUAUUACGGACCUUCAGCCACAGAAGUGCUCUUAUUUUCUGUUGCAAACAGAGUGAACAUGGACUAAGAAGAAAGACUACAAAGCCUGCAAUGGCCCAGAGGUGGGAAGAGGAGACGAGCACUUUCUCCAGGAGUGUGGCAAACCAGGUGCUGCCAGCAAUGAGCCGGAUCCCUUCCACCAGUUGCCAUCCCACAAGAGUACUUAUCUUUCUGGUGGGCUCUCACAGUGAACUCAUCCAGUGGUCCAUCCCGCCUGUGCAUUUCAUAAGAAAAAUUCCAUGUUGAGCCUGUUCUGGCAGAGGAACUCACACAGAUAGAAAUCUGAUGGUGCAAUUGUACUAAAGAAAACCCUGCAAGCACAGCCAGGACUAAUUACUCUAACCUCAGACCUGGCUGCUGUCCACACGACGAGGCUCUGUGCCGGCACAUGGACUAGCAGAGUUUGUAGAGGAACAAACUGAUGGAGAAACAGGAAUGAAAGGCUACACUUGUGCAACCUUUAUGGCCCCAGAAAUACUUCAACAUACAAUGAAGAUGUUAUGCCAGUAAGUUUUGGUCCAUAGAUGCUACUACUUAGUAAGCCCAUAGGGUUAAGCCUAGAAAAAUGAGGAUCUUGAAGGCAUUUUAAAAUUCAUCUGUAUCUUGUAACCAAGUAAAGUUAUGUAAUUGCCUGUGCUGAUGUAAAGACGUGGAUGUAACCUUGAGACAUGGCUAUUCCUUUGGUAUUUGACAGAUUGUUGGUGAUCGUUUUCCAGAAUGAAUGGACUCCAGAGUGGGUUGAACAGGGUGGAGGAAGC
rnacentral:lncRNA from 1 species